AGGGUUGUUCGGAAAGUUUUGAGACAAUAUGAUUUUCUCUGUUUCUAAUUACAGCUGCGAAUAUUAUUUAAUACAAAUUAUAGCUUAAUAUGUUAUUUAUCCGAGUUAUGUCUUAAAAACGUUGUAACGUUACUAUACGGCAUAUAAUCGUUUCCAUAGCAACACCUGUCUACGCAUCCUGGCGCACGGACUAUUUUCUUGUUAUAAGUUUUCUUACUGAAUAAAAAGAGCCCCUAAAAUUGCGCCAAACGUCACGAAAAUUUUAUGACGUCACUUCCAACUUAAGGACGUCAUUUCCGCUAGUUGUUUAAGCCGUUACCGCAGAUCAUUAUAGCAAUACGUGCGCGACAAGACAACGACUAUGGAAACACUGUCAAAAGAGGAACAGCCUGUUUUUAUUAAGUUUUGCGUUAAUCUUGGGAAAACGCCAACAGAAACUAAGCAACUUCUAGAACAGGCAAACAACGGACGUACUGUUAGUCGACCAUUGGUAUUUAGAUGGCAUAAAGAGUUUCGGGAUGGCAGAAAGUCAACAAAAGACAAGGAAAGGAGCGGUCGCCCAUCCGUCAUCGACGAUAAACUGACACUUGCAAGAAACGCGCUUCAGAAUCCGGUUUGAGGACCUAGUUGAACUGCGCUCUAGAGUUAUGAGCAUUAUUGCAACAUUUAAAUCUGACUGGUAUAGAAAUGUAUUCGCCAAGUGGGUUACGAGGCAUGAGAAAUGUGUACGUUGUGAAGGAAGAUACUUUGAAAA